rnacentral:rRNA from 1 species
GGCUACACAUGCAAGUCGAGCGGCAGCGGGAAAGUAGCUUGCUACUUUUGCCGGCGAGCGGCGGACGGGUGAGUAAUGCCUGGGAAACUGCCCAGUCGAGGGGGAUAACUACUGGAAACGAUAGCUAAUACCGCAUACGCCCUACGGGGGAAAGCAGGGGACCUUCGGGCCUUGCGCGAUUGGAUGAACCCAGGUGGGAUUAGCUAGUUGGUGAGGUAAUGGCUCACCAAGGCGACGAUCCCUAGCUGGUCUGAGAGGAUGAUCAGCCACACUGGAACUGAGACACGGUCCAGACUCCUACGGGAGGCAGCAGUGGGGAAUAUUGCACAAUGGGGGAAACCCUGAUGCAGCCAUGCCGCGUGUGUGAAGAAGGCCUUCGGGUUGUAAAGCACUUUCAGCGAGGAGGAAAGGUUGAUGCCUAAUACGUAUCAACUGUGACGUUACUCGCAGAAGAAGCACCGGCUAACUCCGUGCCAGCAGCCGCGGUAAUACGGAGGGUGCAAGCGU